UUAGCUUUGGAUUUCCCCCUGGCUCAGGACGAACCGCUGGCGGGCGUGCCUUAAUACAUGCCAAGUCGAACCGAACUCUGGUAUUUGAUUGGGUGCUUGCAUCCAGGAUUUACAUUUGGAGUGAGUGGGCGAACUGGGUGAGUAACCACGGUGGGAAACCUGCCCCAGAAGCGGGGGAUAACACCUGGAAACAGAUGCUAAUACCGCAUAACAACUUGGACCCGCAUGGUCCGAGCUUGAAAGAUGGCUUCGGCUAUCACUUUUGGAUGGUCCCGCGGCGUAUUAGCUAGAUGGUGGGGUAACGGCUCACCAUGGCAAUGAUACGUAGCCGACCUGAGAGGGUAAUCGGCCACAUUGGGACUGAGACACGGCCCAAACUCCUACGGGAGGCAGCAGUAGGGAAUCUUCCACAAUGGACGAAAGUCUGAUGGAGCAACGCCGCGUGAGUGAAGAAGGGUUUCGGCUCGUAAAACUCUGUUGUUAAAGAAGAACAUAUCUGAGAGUAACUGUUCAGGUAUUGACGGUAUUUAACCAGAAAGCCACGGCUAACUACGUGCCAGCAGCCGCGGUAAUACGUAGGUGGCAAGCGUUGUCCGGAUUUAUUGGGCGUAAAGCGAGCGCAGGCGGUUUUUUAAGUCUGAUGUGAAAGCCUUCGGCUCAACCGAAGAAGUGCAUCGGAAACUGGGAAACUUGAGUGCAGAAGAGGACAGUGGAACUCCAUGUGUAGCGGUGAAAUGCGUAGAUAUAUGGAAGAACACCAGUGGCGAAGGCGGCUGUCUGGUCUGUAACUGACGCUGAGGCUCGAAAGUAUGGGUAGCAAACAGGAUUAGAUACCCUGGUAGUCCAUACCGUAAACGAUGAAUGCUAAGUGUUGGAGGGUUUCCGCCCUUCAGUGCUGCAGCUAACGCAUUAAGCAUUCCGCCUGGGGAGUACGGCCGCAAGGCUGAAACUCAAAGGAAUUGACGGGGGCCCGCACAAGCGGUGGAGCAUGUGGUUUAAUUCGAAGCUACGCGAAGAACCUUACCAGGUCUUGACAUACUAUGCAAAUCUAAGAGAUUAGACGUUCCCUUCGGGGACAUGGAUACAGGUGCUGCAUGGAAGUCGUCAGCUCGUNGACGAUGAGAUGUUGGGUUAAGUCCCGCAACGAGCGCAACCCUUAUUAUCAGUUGCCAGCAUUAAGUUGGGCACUCUGGUGAGACUGCCGGUGACAAACCGGAGGAAGGUGGGGAUGACGUCAAAUCAUCAUGCCCCUUAUGACCUGGGCUACACACGUGCUACAAUGGAUGGUACAACGAGUUGCGAACUCGCGAGAGUAAGCUAAUCUCUUAAAGCCAUUCUCAGUUCGGAUUGUAGGCUGCAACUCGCCUACAUGAAGUCGGAAUCGCUAGUAAUCGCGGAUCAGCAUGCCGCGGUGAAUACGUUCCCGGGCCUUGUACACACCGCCCGUCACACCAUGAGAGUUUGUAACACCCAAAGUCGGUGGGGUAACCUUUUAGGAACCAGCCGCCUAAGGUGGGACAGAUGAAAGGGUGAAUUUGAGAAGGAGCCG
rnacentral:rRNA from 2 species